UACGGGGGGUGCGAGCGUUGUCCGGAAUCACUGGGCGUAAAGGGCGCGUAGGUGGUUUGAUAAGGGUGUGGUGAAAGUCCGGAGCUCAACUCCGGAUCUGCCGUGCCGGACUGUCAAACUCGAGGGCUGUAGAGGCAGACGGAAUUCCGAGUGUAGAGGUGAAAUUCGUAGAUAUUCGGAAGAACACCAGGUGGCGAAGGCGGCUCUCUGGACCGUAACUGGACGCUGA
rnacentral:rRNA from 1 species